rnacentral:rRNA from 1 species
GUCUAUGGCCGUACCACCCUGAACGUGCCUGAUCUUGUCUGAUCUCAGAAGCUAAGCAGGGUCAGGCCUGGUUAGUACCUGGAUGGGAGAUUGUCUGGGAAUACUGGGUGCUGUAGGCU